rnacentral:rRNA from 1 species
UCGAGAAUCAUUCACAAUGGGCGAAAGCCUGAUGGUGUGACGCCGCGUGGAGGAUGAAGGUCUUCGGAUUGUAAACUCCUGUCAAGUGAGAGUAAAGUUGGGCGUUAACUGCGUGCCAAUAUGAGAGUAUCACUAGAGGAAGAGACGGCUAACUCUGUGCCAGCAGCCGCGGUAAUACAGAGGUCUCAAGCGUUGUUCGGAAUCACUGGGCGUAAAGGGUGCGUAGGCUGCAUGGUAAGUCAGAGGUGAAAUCCCGGAGCUCAACUUCGGAAUUGCCUCCGAUACUGCCGUGCUUGAGGACUGGAGAGGAGUCUGGAAUUCACAGUGGAGCAGUGAAAUGCGUAGAUAUUGUGAGGAACACUAGUUGCGAAGGCGAGACUCUGGACAGUUUCUGACGCUGAGGCACGAAGGCCAGGGGAGCAAACG